rnacentral:rRNA from 1 species
GGAUAGCGGAGAAAUUCCAAUCGAACCCGGAUAUAGCUGGUUCUCCCCGAAAUAGUUUUAGGACUAGCCUCGUGAUUAAGAUUAUCGGAGGUAAAGCACUGAAUGGCCUAGGGGUCGAGAGAUUACCGAAGCCUAUCAAACUCUGAAUGCCGAAUAAUCAUGCACGGGAGUCAGACUGUGUGAGAUAAGUUUCAUAGUCGAAAGGGAAACAGCCCAGACCUACAGCUAAGGUCCCAAAGUACGUUUAAGUGGAAAACGAUGUGAAAUUGCGUAGACAACCAGGAUGUUGGCUUAGAAGCAGCCAUACAUUAAAAGAGUGCGUAAUAGCUCACUGGUCGAGUGACUUUGCGCGGAAAAUUUAACGGGGCUAAAACGUACACCGAAGCUUAGGCUUGUCACAAUGUGACAGGGGUAGGGGAGCGUUGAAUGAGGGGUGAAGUCGUAGCGAAAGCGACGGUGGACUUCAUUCAAGUGAGAAUGCCGGAAUGAGUAGCGAGAAUUAUGUGAGAAUCAUAAUGGCCGAAAGCCUAAGGUUUUUGGAGGAAGGUUCGUCCGCUCCAAGUAAGUCGGAAGCUAAGGUGAGGCUGAAAAGCGUAGCCGAUGCACAAACGGUUGAAAUUCCGUUACCACAGAAAGAUUUAAACUAAGGGACACUUUUGAAGAGCUGAUGCCGGGUGUUGGUUACCCCGGUCGUAAGGGAACGAAAUUAAGUAGUGAAGUCAGCGUGGAUGAAGGCGAGAAAAGCUUAGUGUAUAUCUUAUGUGUCCGUACCGCAAACCGACACAGGUAGGUAGGAAGAGAAUUCUAAGGCCAACGGGAGAAGGGUAGUUAAGGAACUCGGCAAAAUGUCCCCGUAACUUCGGAAUAAGGGGAGGUUUCUACGGAAACCCGCAGAGAAUAGUCCCAGGCAACUGUUUAUCAAAAACACAGCUCUAUGCUAAAUCGAAAGAUGACGUAUAUGGGGUGACGCCUGCCCGGUGCCGGAAGGUUAAGAGGAGGAGUGAGAGCCCUGAAUCGAAGCCCCGGUAAACGGCGGCCGUAACUAUAACGGUCCUAAGGUAGCGAAAUUCCUUGUCAGGUAAGUUCUGACCCGCACGAAUGGUGUAACGAUUUGGGCACUGUCUCAACAACCCACCCGGCGAAAUUGUAGUACCGGUGAAGAUGCCGGUUACCCGCGACUAGACGGAAAGACCCCAUGGAGCUUUACUGUAGCUUAAUAUUGGAUUUCGGCAUUUCAUGUACAGGAUAGGUGGGAGACUAGGAAACAUAGGCGUCAGCUUAUGCGGAGUCGUCCUUGGGAUACCACUCUUGGAGUGCUGAAAUUCUAACCUGCAGCCCUGAAUCGGGUUGGGGGACAUUGUUAGGUGGGCAGUUUGACUGGGGCGGUCGCCUCCAAAAAGGUAACGGAGGCGCUCAAAGGUUGGCUCAGCAUGGAUGGAAACCAUGCCAUAGAGUGCAAACGCAAAAGCCAGCCUGACUGCGAGACUGACGGGUCGAGCAGAAACGAAAGUUGGAGUUAGUGAUCCGGCGGUAUGUGAAUGGAAAUGCC